GUGACUGCGUACCUUUUGUAUAAUGGGUCAGCGACUUAUAUUCUGUAGCAAGGUUAACCGUAUAGGGGAGCCGGAGGGAAACCGAGUCUUAAUUGGGCGUUAAGUUGCAGGGUAUAGACCCGAAACCCGGUGAUCUAGCCAUGGGCAGGUUGAAGGUUGGGUAACACUAACUGGAGGACCGAACCGACUAAUGUUGAAAAAUUAGCGGAUGACCUGUGGCUGGGGGUGAAAGGCCAAUCAAACCGGGAGAUAGCUGGUUCUCCCCGAAAGCUAUUUAGGUAGCGCCUCGUGAAUUCAUCUCCGGGGGUAGAGCACUGUUUCGGCUAGGGGGCCAUCCCGGCUUACCAACCCGAUGCAAACUGCGAAUACCGGAGAAUGUUAUCACGGGAGACACACGGCGGGUGCUAACGUCCGUCGUGAAGAGGGAAACAACCCAGACCGCCAGCUAAGGUCCCAAAGUCAUGGUUAAGUGGGAAACGAUGUGGGAAGGCCCAGACAGCCAGGAUGUUGGCUUAGAAGCAGCCAUCAUUUAAAGAAAGCGUAAUAGCUCACUGGUCGAGUCGGCCUGCGCGGAAGAUGUAACGGGGCUAAACCAUGCACCGAAGCUGCGGCAGCGACGCUGUGCGUUGUUGGGUAGGGGAGCGUUCUGUAAGCCUGUGAAGGUGGCCUGUGAGGGUUGCUGGAGGUAUCAGAAGUGCGAAUGCUGACAUAAGUAACGAUAAAGCGGGUGAAAAGCCCGCUCGCCGGAAGACCAAGGGUUCCUGUCCAACGUUAAUCGGGGCAGGGUGAGUCGACCCCUAAGGCGAGGCCGAAAGGCGUAGUCGAUGGGAAACGGGUUAAUAUUCCCGUACUUGGUGUUACUGCGAAGGGGGGACGGAGAAGGCUAUGUUGGCCGGGCGACGGUUGUCCCGGUUUAAGCGUGUAGG
rnacentral:rRNA from 1 species